rnacentral:rRNA from 1 species
AGUUUUGAGCUAAAUAUAUUAUAAUAUUAGUUAUUUAUGAAGGUGUUGUAAAACCUUAUUAAAAAUUAUAUUUAGGGGUGAUAGGCCUUUCAAAAACUAAGAUAUCUUGAAUCUAAUUAAAAGUAUGUAGUACAUUCAACACAACUAUAAAGUGAUUAGGCUUUAUAGAACUAUUAACAUAUAAAGAUUUUAUUUAUUAUAAUUUAAUAAUUAAGUAUAUAAAUACAAUAAUAUUCAUAUAUUAUAGUUUAUAAGGAGUAAUUAGAUAAAUUUAAGUUCAUAAAUUUUGUAAUAAUGUUAAUAUUAGUAUUUAGUUUAUAUUUAUAUGAUGAACUCGGCAAAAAUGCUUCUCAACUGUUUAUCAAAAACAUAACUAUGUGUAUAAAUACAUAGCGGUUUCUGCUCAA